CGGACCUCCGAUCAAGCAAGAGGACCCGCUGAAUUUAAGCAUAUAACUAAGCGGAGGAAAAGAAACUAACCAGGAUUCCCCCAGUAACGGCGAGUGAAGCGGGAAGAGCUCACGUUGUAAAUCUGACUUUCGGUCCGAAUUGUAGUCUGGAGAGGCGUGACCAGCUGGAGACGGGGGCGAAGUCUCUUGGAAAAGAGCAUCAAGGAGGGUGACAAUCCCGUUCUUGCCCCCGCUUUCCAUGCGUACGGUCCGUUUUCUACGAGUCGAGUUGCUUGGGAUUGCAGCUCAAAGCGGGUGGUAAAUUCCAUCUAAAGCUAAACACGGGUGGGGGACCGAUAGCGAACAAGUACCGUGAGGGAAAGAUGCAAAGAACUUUGAAAAGAGAGUUAAAGAGUGCCUGAAAUUG
rnacentral:rRNA from 1 species